GCUAUGAUGUUUGUUGUUCCAUGCAACUGAUAUUGGUGAUGCGGUUUUCUGGUCUGA
rnacentral:snoRNA from 1 species